GGAAAGAGAACAUAACAGGUUUGAACAUAUAUUAUCACACACAUACAUGUCAGAGGAAAGAGAACAUAACAGGUUUGAACAUAUAUUAUCAUACACAUACAUGUCAGAGGAAAGAGAACAUAACAGGUUUUAGCAUAUAUUAUCAUACACAUACAUGUCAGAGGAAAGAGAACAUAACAGGUUUGAACAUAUAUUAUCAUACACAUACAUGUCAGAGGAAAAAGAACAUAACAGGUUUGAACAUAUAUAUCAUACACAUACAUGUCAGAGGAAAGAGAACAUAACAGAUUUGAACAUAUAUUAUCAUACACAUACAUGUCAGAGGAAAGAGAACAUAACAGGUUUGAACAUAUAUUAUCAUACGAGGAAAGAGAACAUAACAGGUUUGAACAUAUAUAAUCAUACACAUACAUGUCAGAGGAAAGAGAACAUAACAGGUUUGAACAUAUAUUAUCAUACACAAACAUGUCAGAGGAAAGAAAACACAAUUAAACACUCACAGAAUCAUACACAUACAUGUACGAGAAAUAAGAAUAUAACAGUUUGAAAACACAGAAUCAUCAAAAUAUAGAUCAGACAAAAGCGAACAUAGCAGGUUUGAUCACACAUAAUCAUACACAUACAUGUCAAAGGAAAGAGAAAAUAACAGGUUUGAACCCAUAUAAUCGUACACAUACAUCAGAGAAAACAGAAUAUAACAGUUUGAA